GGUUCGAUGGUGUAGUUGGUUAUCACAUCUGUCUAACAU
rnacentral:tRNA from 1 species